AGGAGGAAAAAGAGAACACUAAGUCCUAAAACUCAAGAAAGGUUUGGUAGCAGAGACAGAAAAGGAGCUAUAAAUGAAAAGGCAGCAUUCCACGUGUAGAAGGGGGAGGCAUUCCGUGAGCCAGGAGCAAAGACGAGUGGGAUGAACGGCUACGUGGAGCCACAGUCUCUGGCCACUCCCUGUCCUCCCUCCCGGAAUGGCAAGGACGAAGACUACUGCGUAAGCAGAAAACUUGGCAUCUGUGGAGGCUUGCUUUGAGCCCAUCUGCCAGCUGGUGGUAAUGGAUGGGGGAGCGAACAAGAACCCUUCUUGGCGAGUGGAUGAGUUUCCAUUUGGCGCUCUUUUGUUAUUCAACCCAAAGCUAAUCAUUUUUAUUAUCUUAUUAUUUUCCUUCUUUUUUUUCUUUACAGUAUGCUGCCUGCCUGACAUACUGUACAAAUGCUGGCAGGGUUUAAAAAAAAAUCAGAGUUCAAUUCUCAAAUUUUAACACUGGAUCAAUGAACUAUAUAUGCACAUAUUGCCUCAUUCCCCCCACACUUCAACUUUGAUAAAUGAGGAAAUUACACUUUUUAAUGUAUUUGCUAAGACAAUAAACAGGUUAAUCUUGCUGUAA